CCCUCUCCGGCCCGCCCACCGGGUCCACCGCGCGGCCAAGCCCGCCCACUCCGGACGCUGGCUGGCCGGCCCGGGUCCCAAGGGCGAGGUUUCUAUUUGGGACCCACAACAGGUGCCUGGGAAACAAAGGCGCGGAUCGCGCCACCCGCGCGCGCAGCCCCCGCGGGGCUCCCGGGAGAAGAGUGGGAAAUACUCUUCGAUCCGGCCGGUGUCACAGAAGGACCAGGCACUUCAAGACUGAAAACCCCAACUUACAGUAUCCUGCAAGUAAGAACAGCAGAUCUGUCUUACGAUGAUGUUAAAGGCAUUUACAGGAUGAACGUCACCGACGGGCCGAGUUUCAGGCCAAGUGUGAAAAUGCCUAAUAAAAUGAGAAGUUGAAAUAUGAAUGGCAAAUUCCAGGGUAAGGUAUCUCCAGGAGCUGGAGAUGCAGAGCCAGAUUUCUGGCUGAAAUCAUCUUCAUC